rnacentral:tRNA from 1 species
ACCUGGGUGGCUCAGUCGGUUAAGCAUCUGGCUUUGGCUCAGGUCAUGAUCUCGCGGUUUGUGGGUUCGAGCCCCACGUCAGGUU